GACGAACGUUGGCGGCGUGCUUAAUACAUGCCAGUCAACUGAGGCAGUGGUAGCAAUAUCGCUGUGGAGGUGGCGCACGGGUGAGUAACACGUAGGUAAUCUGCCUUCAGGUCUGGCAUAACUCCGGGAAACCGGGGCUAAUAGCAGAUGAUGCAGCGGCUCGACAUCGAGACAGUUGUUAAAGCUACGGCGCCUGAAGAUGAGCCUGCGUCUGAUUAGCUAGUUGGCGGGGUAACGGCCCACCAAGGCAACGAUCAGUAGCUGGUCUGAGAGGAUGAUCAGCCACACUGGAACUGAGACACGGUCCAGACUCCUACGGGAGGCAGCAGUAAGGAAUAUUGCUCAAUGGGAGAAAUCCUGAAGCAGCAACGCCGCGUGAGGGACGAAGGGCUUUUGCUUGUAAACCUCUGUAGUGAGAGAAAAAAAUCCCAAUCUUUGGGACAUGAUGGUAUCUCAAAAGUAAGCCCCGGCUAACUACGUG
rnacentral:rRNA from 1 species